UUAGUGCCUUUUUUUCCAAAAUAUCCAGACACAAUAGUCCAACGGAUUGGUAUCCAGAGAUUUUGGUGGCCAUUGUGAGCUGGAAAUGAAGCGAGGAACCUCAUUUUGUAACCAUUCUUUGGUGACGCGUGCUGAGUGCGAUGGUACUGAGUCCUGUUGGGAUGUCCAAGGUCUGCAGCCAAAAUGUUAGCGUGCCCAAGGCUCUAAUAUACCCUCCAGAUAUUUUCGGGAUAAUAUUCGGCAUUUAUUCUGAUGCCACUUUCGGUUAAUACGAGCGAGGAACGACCAUCGCCGCCCCACAACAUCACCAUGGCCGGCGCUUGAGUACUGUGGGCCAACCGAAGGUGCACAUUUUCAGCUGACCUCUUUGGCAAGUAAACACGAUAAUUUUGUUUGUUUAUAAACUGCUUGACAGCGAAUGUCUUCUCAUCGGAGAAAACCAAAUUCGGUAGUUCACCACUUUUGGCCAAGCGAGCAACUCUUUAGCCCUUUUGAGUCUAUUUUGUUUCUGUUGUUGUGUAAGUUCUUGCACUUUUUUGAAUUUCAAUGGCUCAUUUUUCAAUAUUUGCCGAAUGGAAUAUUGCGAUAUGUUCAGCUCACCAGCCAUUUUUCGGCCCCUGCCAUGCGGACUUUGAUCAAGUCGCUUCUUUACUUUUCGAACCAUUUCUGCUGAUGUUGCUGUUUUCUUCCUCCACUUCCUUGACGUCGGGCAACGCUACCAGUAUCACGGUAACGAGCGAUGGUACAAAACAAAAGAUUUAUUUACAUUUAAAUGCUGGUGUGGUCUAACCGUAGACACUUGUGGUUUUUCAGCCAAAUAUAAAGAAAUUCCAUCACGAAUAACUUUUUUCUGUAAAAUUUUCACCAAAAUGCUUCUGUACGCUUGUAAACAAUAUAAUGAGCUGUCACUGGAAUAAUUUUAACAGCUGUCGGACGAGUGUCUUAAAAAUGACAGCAGUCUGAAGUUGGUUGCAUACAUACAUUCAUGUAUUUGUGAUUUCGCUAAUUUUGGUGUUUUUUCAUACAAAAUUGUAGUUUAUUUCAACGGCUAAAUAUGAUCUGAUGACCAUCCCAAAUGCUAGGUUCAGCGCUGUCCCAAACUCUAACCUAAAAAUGACUAUGUCUAUUGGUCCUUAUUUGAGAACUUUAAAGCGACUCUACCUAGUUUGCUAUAUAUUCUAUAUCUUGGCUAACAGUAUUACUAUAGUGCUUAGAAUUGACCUAUUAAUGCUUUUGUGAUUUCGGCGGGAUUAAAAAUUUUUUCGGCUUAGUGGAAAUUUUCGUAUUUUUACAAAUAUUUUACAUAAAUAGGGCUAGAUUCUGCCUAGCCCUAAACUUUAACGCCAUGCAAAAUUCGUCGAUUGGUUUAUAAUUGGGACCUAUAGAGCAACUGCAAAAUCGGGAAAUUUUUCUGUUUUUUUUUUGUCAAUUUCAACCUCUAAGUAGUUUGGGUUCAUCCCAAAAACAAUAGGCUUCUAUUCUGAACCCCAUGCUCAAUUGCAUGAGGAUCGGGCCAUAAUUGCGGCCUGAAGCGGGAUUACAAAUUAACAUUGACGGGUAGAUAUUGUUAACAUUGUUUUCUAUUGCCGCCAAAGUAUUUACCAUUAAAAUAGCUCCAGAAAUACUGUAUUUAAACAACUGUAAAAUUUUUUAAAGGUAGCCUUAUUUCAAAUACAGCUACGGAGAAAUCCGUUUCCCUAUCAUAUUUAUAAACAGGUAUUUUAUUAUUCUACCACGAUUUAGAGGGCUACUUAAUACCCGACCUACCGUCCAUGUAUAAAUUCAGAUAUUCAACUCUUGUAUCAUGUUUAUGUUCAGAAUUAUACUAGACGAGUUUUCUAGUUGCAAUUUUUUAUCCUUCUCCUUUGAACUUGCCUCAUGCAUUUAUAAUAGCCCAUAUGAAUUCAGCAAUUUUGUUUUUUUAUUUUCGUAUAAAAAUAAAAACACAAAAUGCCAGAAAAUUGCCAGCACCAGCAAUCUUUUUUUAAUUUCCAUUCCCCUUAGCCCUCUCUGUCCUCUGUCCAAAAAUGUAAACAAACUAAUUAAUUUUCAAUAAAUUAUUUUAAUUUCAAAAAUAUACAUUUUUGAAAUUUGUAUUAUUAAAUUGAAAAUGCAGAAGAAUAGUUUUUAAAAUAUUUAAUUUUAAUGCUUUCACAUCAUUUCCCUGAAUGUGUAGUUGUUAGCUGUUGGUCCUAAUCUCUCAACACUUCAAGCAAUCGCUAGAAAAUCGCGAAAAGGCAACAUCCCUUUCAAGCCGAAACCAAUCAGCAUACAUACAUAAAGUAUUCUACAUUUUGCAAUUUUAGGAAACAUGAAAUAUACGAAUACAUUAUCUAAUGUGGUAUCGCUGUUCCUUAACCGCAAAAAAAUUUUCCGAACCAUCGUUUUUAGAUUUUAGUAAAGUACAACGGCAAUUUUCUUAUUAUUAGGCAAAAAUAUGUUCACAUUGCCCUGCAGUGAAAUUUUAUAUCAAAAAAGGGUAUACCUAUUGUAUAUCAAGAAAUGGAAUUAAAUCACAAAAUGUCAUAUCGAGUUUGACACUAGUAUUACUAUAGAGUCAAAUCAGCUGGGACUUGCUGUUACCUGUAAUAAUUGUACCAUGACACAAUUGCUUAAUAUAAACUCGGCCUUACUUCAUUUUAUAAUUUCUAUCAGCGUUACCUAAAAUUCGACGUAGCGUACACAAAUACAACUUCCCCACUGUGGUAAAAUGUAUUGUACAUCAGGCCUAUAUCUUAAAAACUACUAACGAAAAUCCUUUUAAAAAUGGAUAAUCUUCAUAAUUCUCCCAACAAUUAGAUUUUCCAAUUACAAACAUUCACUUUUUUGUUAUUCAUUUCUAUUUCAACACAAAAAAAUAAUAAUAAUUAUUAUUAAAUUUUCAUUGUUAAAUGGAAGGUUCAACUUUGAAAUUUCGUACGUUUGACGUGCUUGGGUAGCACUCAUAUAAAUACAUGUUUUUUUUUUUUUUGUGGUGAAAAACGUCGACCAAGUACGUCGAAUUUUAGGCAACGCUGUAAGAGGCCAAAAAGUCCACAAUUUGAUAAUCUUUGUAGUUGUUCUCAACGAGGGAAAAUAAACUAUUUUACGUUAGAAAUUGUUUCGUUCUGUGUUUUCUUGAAGUACAAAACGAAACAAAACCGAUAUUAAGAUAACAGGACUUGUCUCUUAUUUUGUACUGUUUGUGUAGAUGAGUGGAAACUAAUUCAGAACUGAAAUGUACUUUCCUGGAUGACGAAACAUUGGAAACGAAACACACUCAUUGCAAACGUCUGCAAACGUUUUUCGAUAUAUUAAUUCUUUACAAAUAAUGUACAAACUAAUAAAAAGUUACAAUUAUUCCUUUUUAUUCAUUUAUUUGAACAUCACAAAAUGUAAAAAUGUACAAAAUAUUAAUAUUAAUAAUAUUAAAAUAUUAAGAAUAACAACUCUCAAUGUACAAGUCAUCAUCAUCAUUUCGCACAGCAAACGAUUGCAAACCUUACCCGGCGAUUUGUUCGCAAACGAUACAGCUCGGCAACUGACAUCCGAAGUACAUUAAGGCAAUCGUUUAGUUUGUGUACUUCUGGCAUUGAAAUGUUUGUGGUUUUGUUUCCUUUGGAGUACAAACGGUUAAAAAAAAAUUUAAAAGCUUGUGUCUUCGUGAGAGGGGUACAUUAAUCGUUUCGUUUGUUUUCGUUCGGUUUUUCUAUUAUUGUGAGUUGGCCUUUCGUUGAAUUUCAUAUUAAAAAAACUUUUUGAAGGCAAACUCGUUUGUCAGAUUUUCGUACUGACCAACCUUAUCAGCCUGUUUUUGAAAAAUAAAUUACUUUCACUCGAAUUAAGUGUAUUCGUUUAAGUUUGUAUUUUUGUAAACAUUUUUGCAUUGUUCUAGUAUCUGCAAAAAAGGGCUAGUUUGGAUUAUUUUGUCAAUUAUUUUAUUUAAUGCAGUCCUGCAAGUUACGCCACCAAAAAGUUGAUUUGAUACUCAUACACAUACAAUUUUGUCGUGUAUCCCUGCAAAUAAUACGACUACUCUAUACAAUCGUGUAAAUUAUAGUCCAUACCGACGAGGACCAGUCCAAAAAUAACACAAAUGCUAUGAAAACCUACUCUAUUGAACCUUACGAUGUCCUAGCUUUCCAUUAGAUCAAAGUCGUCUCAAAGCUACUCCACAUGAUAAUUCUAUGGUACGCUUGCAAAAGAAAAAAACAAGAAAUGAAUGUGCAAACGAUAAAACAUGAGAACAUAGGACAAUAUUGUAACUAGUCCAUAGCAGCUGCAAUGGAUCACUUGCGGGGAUACCGUAACAUGAACGAAUCUAAAAAAUAUUAUACUCAUUAUGAAUCUAUACUGGAUCAGUAUAAAGCCGAUUUAGCGAUUUAAUUUGGCAGUACGAUCGUAAAUGUUACAGCGAAAUGUAUGCUCUGUGGUUAAUAGACGGUUAAUCUGGUUCUUCUUCGAUAUCCAUGUUUAGGAAUUCUGCUACCUUUAUGGGCUGUAGCCAGAGAUCCUCUGGACAAUUAAAUACAUGUUCGUGUAUACGUACGUAUGUACGUGUAUACGUUCACGUUUUCGUAUAGUCCCCAUAUAACGGUACCUCCUGAUAUUCGGUAUUUUGAUGAUUUUAGCGACAUUUUUCACCGGAAGUGUUUCAAAUUUCGUAUUUCAAGUUCGUAAUGCGUGCUACAACCUAUGACAGACAAAAAUAAAAAUGGAGAAGUUUGAUCCUACUGUGUUUCAACUAUUAACUUCAAUUGUGUGAUUGGCACAGAUAAUUUUUAACUGAAUAUAACAACGAUGUGGCCAGAAUGCGCAAAUGCUGCUAUGGGCAAGUAGAGAUUUUACGCGAAAUUUAUGUAUUUGAGAGUGCGGUAUUUCUUUACAUUUCACAGACGUAUGUCAGGUAUAAGUUAUUUAAUUCGACCUUUAUUAUAAAAGAUUUCAAAUGUAAGUUAAAUAAAAUUGAGCUCCAGGUUUAUUUAUUUAUUAUUUUCGAUAUUUCGUCCUCCGACGGAAGACAUCAUCAGGAACAAUAUAUUUUUUAAUGUUUCAAUUUGGGUAAUACGGCAGUACAAAAUGCUUGAUUAUGGUGAGAAGCUUGGUAUUGUGGAACAAUUACACUUGAGAAACACAACUCUGUCCCUAAAGUCUUGUAACUUGAAAUUUUGUAAUAACAAAUGCAACAAGUUGAUGUGUUUAUUUGACACAUCGCGAAAAACGACAUGUGUAUAUUUUUUGAGAAAACUAGGAGAAAACGAUUACUAACUUCACGCUGAUCCAAAACACAAACAUACAUUAGUAGUGUUUUAAAUUAGUAAUUUGGCAGGGUAAAUACAUGGUAAUA